GCUGGCAGGCGCUGACCGCAGGAGAGCUAACCACAAUAACCCCCACCUGAACCGCAGGAGAGCCUCUGAGAGGAGAGCCUGUGCCUUUAAGGCUGAGGAGGUCAGAGAGAGGACAUGACCGGGGUUGGCCCUUGAGCUGCACCCAGGAAAUCAGAUGCUCCUCACCCCUCCCCUUUUCUUGAACGUAUGUUCUGCCCACAGUUCCACAGUGGGAGCCAUUUUCAAGGAUGCGGCCUUGAGUGAGCAAUGUGUUGCUGAGACCAUCUGGAGUGAAUAUGUGACUGAACCCAGGGAAGGCCUCUGCAUAGACUGUUAAGAUUCUGGCAGGCAGAUGCAGAGAUCCACUUGUCUUACGGCCGCCCAGGACAAGCCUCGUAUACUACCUCCCACCUUGGAUGUGAACCUGAGGCCCGGGAUGGGGUGGGGAGCCUGCCACUCUUGCUGGCAACCGUUAAGACAAGCAUGAAGAUAAAAUCCAGGAAGCUAAGCAUGGAAGAGGGAAAGCAGACAGAGCCAGGAGCCCUGGGGCAUUGGUGAGCAGCCAGAUUGCCCACGCUGGACCUCUGGUGCCAUUUCUUGCACAGACGUUGCAUUUGCCUGCUCACUGAUGUUCUUACCUCCUCCUUCCCCAGCCAUCUUGUUUACACUAUCACCAGGGUCGCUUUCUGAAGGGCUCUGGCAGAGGGCACUCAAAUUCCCAGACAUGGAUUGGUCAUGUCAUGAAUAGGUAGGACCUUGGCCCCGAAUAUGUCUCCUCUGUCCUAUGUUCUGUCCCAGGUAGUAAGCUGGGUCAGAGGCUUCCGUCCCGGUUCAGUGGUGGUCACCUUACUCUGUCUCUUCCUCUGAAGCUGUCAUUAUUGCUCAGGCCCUGCCUAGCUGGAAGAAGCUUGGAGUUAAGCCUAAACCACGGGCUUUAGCCCAGUUUAAUAAAAAUCUCUGCAAUGGAGUGAAGGGCACAAGUCCAGCCCAUACUAAUGAAAUGGGUCAUAUUUUCCAUUUUCUCUUGUUUCAUGGGCAUUUAACUCCCUCAAGAAUAUCACAGGGAAGAGAAUCCAAGAUAGGGUUCAGGUAUCCUGAGUCCUCUAGUCAAACAGCAGUUAAUAAUGCUCCAGAGCCCCUCAAAGUCCGACAACUCAUUAGAAAAAGAUAU
rnacentral:lncRNA from 1 species